UACAUGGGGUGCAAACGUUGCUCGGAAUUAUUGGGCGUAAAGAGCUCGUAGGUGGCUUGUCGCGUCUGCCGUGAAAGCCCAUGGCUUAACUGUGGGUCUGCGGUGGAUACGGGCAGGCUAGAGGCUGGUAGGGGCAAGCGGAAUUCCUGGUGUAGCGGUGAAAUGCGCAGAUAUCAGGAGGAACACCGGUGGCGAAGGCGGCUUGCUGGGCCAGUUCUGACGCUGAGGAGCGAAAGCGUGGGGAGCGAACAGG
rnacentral:rRNA from 1 species